rnacentral:lncRNA from 1 species
GUGACCAGUCCCCUGGAGCUCUUGUUGACAGAGAUAUGACGUGUCCCCCAAAGCCCAUUUCCUCCCUGAUGAGUUUGAGAUGGGCUCUGUCUCCUGCCUCUUAGCUUAGCCUUAACGAAAAUGUAGAACAGCCCAGACCUUCCCCUCACUGGAUGUUUCAUAUCCUGCAGAGCAGUAGGGAAGACAGGUCUUCUAUAUCUGAAGAGGGUCAAGGACAGGUACAUUUUUCAGACGAUAACAGUGAAGAAGAAACAGUGGCUUCAUCAUGAUUUAUAAGUCAGUGACCGGAGGACCCCACAGAGCAAAAGCAUCACUUGGCUGUCAGUGGUAGUAAUGUUGACCAGGCAGCCACCUACCUCCCAGGGUAAAAUAAAGCCGAGAGUAAGGAAAAGAUGCCUUAGACGGAGUGGGAAGGUGAAUUGUAAGGUAUGUGAACUAUAUUUCAAUAAAGCUGUUAAAACAAGGCAAGGAGACAAAAAGAAUAAGCACUUGAGGAUGACAAGGAGAGGACAGGACAAAAGAUGUCAACACAUUUUUGGAAGAUGGAAAUCCAGUGGAGGUGUGGUAACUGACUAGCAGAGCAGCAAACCAACUCACAUCUCAAAAUGCCAGAAGACCGAAGACCAGGUGACACCAAAUAGGAAAGAAAUUAAGGGUUCCAUGCUGUACACGUUGAAUUUU